rnacentral:rRNA from 1 species
CGAGCGGGGAUAUUGCUUUCGGGCGAUAUUCUAGCGGCGGACGGGUGAGUAACGCGUGAACAAUCUGUCCUUUAGUGGGGGAUAACACAAUGAAAGUUGUGCUAAUACCGCAUGAGACCACAGUUCCGCAUGGAACAGGGGUCAAAGGAGCAAUUCGCUGAAGGGUGAGUUCGCGUCCCAUUAGCUAGUUGGUGAGGUAACGGCUCACCAAGGCGACGAUGGGUAGCCGACCUGAGAGGGUGAUCGGCCACACUGGAACUGAGAAACGGUCCAGACUCCUACGGGAGGCAGCAGUGGGGAAUAUUGGGCAAUGGGGGAAACCCUGACCCAGCAACGCCGCGUGAGGGAAGAAGGCUUUCGGGUCGUAAACCUCUGUCCUAUGUGAAGAGUAGAAGACGGUAGCAUAGGAGGAAGCCCCGGCUAACUACGUGCCAGCAGCCGCGGUAAUACGUAGGGGGCGAGCGUUGUCCGGAAUGAUUGGGCGUAAAGGGCGCGUAGGCGGCCUGUUAAGUCUGGAGUGAAAGUCCCGCUUUCAAGGUGGGAAUUGCUUUGGAAACUGGCGGGCUUGAGUGUGGGAGAGGAAAGCGGAAUUCCCGGUGUAGCGGUGAAAUGCGUAGAGAUCGGGAGGAACACCAGUGGCGAAGGCGGCUUUCUGGACCAUAACUGACGCUGAGGCGCGAAAGCGUG